rnacentral:lncRNA from 1 species
CUCAACUUAAAUUCUUAAUUCCAAAUAGAGAAAUAAAAUUUAAACAAUGGACAAGAGGUAUGCAUAACUGGGACAUCUUGGUAAGGCUUGGCUAAUCACUGUCUUGGUUCUUCAAGGUCACCCAAAGAACACCCUAUUGUCUGAAGGGGCUGCUUCUGUUGUGGCUGGAAUCAAAGACUGGGACAACGACAUCUCUGCUUUAACAAGUUCAUGUAAAGAACCACGUACCAUCCAAAGGCCCGGGGAAGAAAUUACAGGUAAAGAACAAGCCCAAGCUGAUAAAUUCGUCAGAAAGUAUAUCCUAAAGUGAACCAUUCAUCUCACCUGCUAUGCAAGACUUCAACUGUGAUGGUGACACAGAUGGAAAAUGGACUGGAGCUUUACUGACAGUCAGUGGUUCUAGGUCAGCCUCGGUAUGCAGGAUUCACAAAGUGAAGUUGGAGAAGGAGAACUGAAGUCUAAGAACUUGCAGGUGAACAGGGAAAAUUACAUUUGAAAGGAAGCGAAACCACACAAGCCCUAGAUGCACCAUUGGUAAAUUCCUCAACUUCCAAAGAAGGAUUUCACUGUGUGGACUCUUGUGGAUGGAACAGAG